rnacentral:rRNA from 1 species
AGCGAACGCUGGCGGCAGGCCUAACACAUGCAAGUCGAACGAACCUUUCGGGGUUAGUGGCGGACGGGUGAGUAACACGUGGGAACGUGCCUUUAGGUUCGGAAUAACUCAGGGAAACUUGUGCUAAUACCGAAUGUGCCCUUCGGGGGAAAGAUUAAUCGCCUUUAGAGCGGCCCGCGUCCGAUUAGCUAGUUGGUUGAGGUAAUGGCUCACCAAGGCGACGAUCAGUAGCUGGUCUGAGAGGAUGGUCAGCCACAUUGGGACUGAGACACGGCCCAAACUCCUACGGGAGGCAGCAGUGGGGAAUCUUGCGCAAUGGGCGAAAGCCUGACGCAGCCAUGCCGCGUGAAUGAUGAAGGUCUUAGGAUUGUAAAAUUCUUUCACCGGGGACGAUAAUGACGGUACCCGGAGAAGAAGCCCCGGCUAACUUCGUG